UACAGAGGGUGCGAGCGUUAAUCGGAAUUACUGGACGUAAAGCGCGCGUAGGCGGCUUUGUAAGUCGGAUGUGAAAUCCCCGGGCUUAACCUGGGAACUGCAUUCGAGACUGCAUAGCUAGAGUAUGGGAGAGGGAAGUGGAAUUUCAGGUGUAGCGGUGAAAUGCGUAGAUAUCUGAAGGAACAUCAGUGGCGAAAGCGACUUCCUGGACCAAUACUGACGCUCAUGUGCGAAAGCGUGGGGAGCAAACAGG
rnacentral:rRNA from 1 species